rnacentral:rRNA from 1 species
UCAUGCAGUCGACGAGAAGUCAUCUUCGGGUGACGAGUACAGUGGCGAACGGGUGAGUAACACGUGGGCAAUCUGCCCCUAGGUUGGGGAUAACACUUCCAACGAAGUGCUAAUACCGAAUGAUAAGGCGAGUUGAUGACUCGUUUUUAAAGGUGGCCUCUACUUGUAAGCUGCCGCCUAGGGAUGGGCCCGCGUCGUAUUAGCUUGUUGGUAGGGUAAUGGCCUACCAAGGCGACGAUGCGUAGCCGGCCUGAGAGGGUGAACGGCCACACUGGCACUGAGAUAAGGGCCAGUCUCCUACGGGAGCCAGCAGUCUAGAAAUUUGCACAAUCGCCGAAAGGCGGAUGCAGCGACACCACGUGGAGGAUGAAGCCCCUCGGGGUGUAAACUCCUGUCAGAAGGGAAGAAGGCGCGGGCGUUAAUACCGCUCGUUGCUUGACGGUACCUUCAGAGGAAGCUCCGGCUAACUACGUGCCAGCAGCCGCGGUAAUACGUAGGGAGCGAGCGUUGUUCGGAUUUACUGGGCGUAAAGGGCACGUAGGCGGGUAUGCAAGUCGGUUGUGAAAUCCUCUGGCUCAACCAGAGAACUGCAGCCGAAACUGCACACCUUGAGUCCAGCAGAGGGAAUCGGAAUCCCAGGUGUAGCGGUGGAAUGCGUAGAUAUCUGGGAGAACAUCAGUGGCGAAGGCGGAUUCCUGGGCUGGUACUGACGCUGAGUGCGAAAGCUAAGGAGCAAACAGAUUAGAUACCCUGGUAGUCUUAGCCGUAACGAUGGGUACUAGUGUGGGGGACAUUGACCCCUCAGUGCCGUAGCUAACGCAUUAAGUACCCGCCUGGGAGU